rnacentral:lncRNA from 1 species
AAAAACUUUUCUGGCAUCUUUGUCGAUCGCAAUUAUGCGACUUGUGCUCAGCUACUUAACCCUUUGCCACGAACUCCGCAGAAUUGUUGUGUUCAUAAUGUUGACAAUGACUGCACCUCAACAAUCUGGAAAAAUUAUCCGAAAUCUCUGAAAAACAAUCACGCAUCUUUUGGCGUUCAGGAAUCGCGCAACGACAGUACUCGAAGGGUGCAGCGUGCAAGACGUCGAGCUCUACUGGCAGAAAAUUUGUCAAAUGAAUGGAAAGCAGAGAAGGCAACGAGGUCGGAGAUAGAAGUACUGACAAUCGAAAGUUCUUUAGGGUCAAAUUCCUUUGCUGGAAAUUUUUGUGUCUUGGCAUUCGGAAGCAUGUUCAGCAUGAGUUACAAAGGGAUUAUAUCACACAUUGACAUUCGAGCACCGUCGGGAGACAAGGACUUGG